AAGGGAAAUACAUCAAGAGGAUCUGCACUAUCAAGAAAUACACUGAAACCGCGCUCCAGGAAUGCUACCCCCGAUGGUAUAAGAAGCAGAUCUAGCAGUUCAAAUGGAUGGGAAAGAAGUUUUUCUCCAGCGUCAAUAAUACCAGGUCCACAUUUGAAGCUUUCUGACAACCACAUCGUAU